rnacentral:rRNA from 1 species
GACGAACGCUGGCGGCGUGCCUAAUACAUGCAAGUCGAACGCAGUGGGGACGGGUGAGUACCACGUUGGUAACCUCCCCUCAGAGGGGAUAACACUUUGACACAGGUGCUAAACCGAUACUGAUGGAUGUACCCGCGGUGCAUUAGCUAUUUGGUGAGGUAACGGCUCACCAAGGCCACGAUGCAUCGCCGACCGGAGAGGGUGAUCGGCCACACGGGGACUGAGACACGGCCCAGACUCAGACGGGAGGCAGCAGUAGGAAAUCUGCGGCAAGGGACGAAAGUCUGACCGAGCAACGCCGCGUGAGUGAAGAAGGUUUUCGGAUCGUAAAACUCUGUUGUUAGAGAAGCGGUAUCUAAACAGAAAGCCACGGCUAACUACGUGCCAGCCGCCGCGGUAAGGG